GCCCUUAGAGUUUGAUCCUGGCUCAGAACGAACGCUGGCGGCGUGGAUAAGACAUGCAAGUCGAACGGGGAAUUUUUAAGCUUGCUUUGAAAUUCCCAGUGGCGGACGGGUGAGUAACACGUGAGUUACCUGCCCCAAAGUGGGGGAUAGCCUCUCGAAAGAGAGAUUAAUACCGCAUGUGAUCGUAAGAUUAAAGGUGGCGCAAGCUGCCGCUUUGGGAUGGGCUCGCGGCCUAUCAGCUAGUUGGUGAGGUAAAGGCUCACCAAGGCGAUGACGGGUAGCUGGUCUGAGAGGACGACCAGUCACACUGGAACUGAGACACGGUCCAGACACCUACGGGUGGCAGCAGUCGAGAAUCAUUCACAAUGGGCGAAAGCCUGAUGGUGCGACGCCGCGUGGAGGACGAAGGCCCUAGGGUCGUAAACUCCUGUCAUCAGGGAGUAAGGCGUUUACCAGUAACUGGGUAGGCGAUUGAUAGUACCUGAAGAGGAAGGGACGGCUAACUUCGUGCCAGCAGCCGCGGUAAUAAGGGCG
rnacentral:rRNA from 1 species